AUUGAACGCUGGCGGCAGGCCUCACACAUGCAAGUCGAACGCGUGGCGGACGGGUGCGUAAUGUCUGGGAAACUGCCCCAUGGAGGGGGAUAACUACUGUAAACGGUAGCUAAUACCGCAUACCAUCGGAUGUGCACAGAGGGGAUUACAUAGGAGGUGGGGUAACGGCUCACCUAGGCGACGAUCCCUAGCUGGUCUGAGAGGAUGACAAGCCACACUGGAACUGAGACACGGUCCAGACGCCUACGGGAGGCAGCAGUGGGGAAUAUUGCACAAUGGGCGGAAGCCUGAUGCAGCCAUGCCGCGUGUAUGAAGAAGGCCAUCGGGUUGUAAAGUACUUUCAGCGAGGAGGCGUUACUCGCAGAAGAAGCACCGGCUAACUCCGUGCCAGCAGCCGCGGUAAUAC
rnacentral:rRNA from 1 species